rnacentral:misc_RNA from 1 species
AACGCACGAGACCUGCGGACCUGCGGAGGGAUCAUUACUGAGGAGGGUCCAUGGCCCGAUCUCCAACCCUUUGAUAAAAACACCAUGUUGCUUUGGCAGGCCCGCCCGUUGGGGCCGCGGGGGAUCGCCGGUCCCUAGCCCGUGCCUGCCGGUAGCCUUCACAAAACUCUCAAAAUGUUGUCGUCUGAGAUGAUUAGAAUAAUAAAACUUUUAGCAACGGAUCUCUAGAUCGGAAGAGCA